rnacentral:rRNA from 1 species
UACGGGGGGGGUAAGCGUUGUUCGGAAUUACUGGGCGUAAAGGGCUCGUAGGCGGCCAACUAAGUCAGACGUGAAAUCCCUCAGCUUAACUGGGGAACUGCGUCUGAUACUGGAUGGCUUGAAUCCGGGAGAGGAAGGUGGAAUGCUUGGUGUAGAGGUGAAAUUCGUAGAUAUCAAGCGGAACACCGGUGGCGAAGGCGGCCUUCUGGACAGUGACUGACGCUGAGGCGCGAAAGCGUGGGGAGCAAACAGG